rfam:Trichuris muris Edinburgh genomic scaffold, scaffold8
CAAACGGCCCUUUUCAGGGCCACCAUAUUUCAAUGCAACAUACCG